AGAGUUUGAUCCUGGCUCAGGAUGAACGCUGGCGGUGUGCCUGAGAUAUGCAAGUCGGACGGUAAGUUUUAAGGAGCUUGCUCCUUGAAACACGAGUGGCGGACGGCUGAGUAACACGUUGGAACCUACCCCUAGGUAGGGGAUAGCUCACCGAAAGGUGGGAUAAUACCCUAUCGUACCCUCUUUUUGAGGGUUAAAGCUUUCGAGCGCCCAGGGAUGGUCCUGCGGCCUAUCAGGUAGUUGGUGAGGUAACGGCUCACCAAGCCAAUGACGGGUAGCUGGUCUCAUGAGGAUGAUCAGCCAGAGGGGGACUGAGACACGGCCCCCACUCCUACGGGAGGCAGCAAUCAGGAAUAGUCGGCAAUGGGCGAAAGCCUGACCGCGCGACACCGCGUGUAGGAAGAAGUACGAAAGUAUGUAAACUACUGUGGUAGGGGAAGAAGUCCUUCGGGAUUGACGGUACCCUACUAGAAAGGAGCCGCUAACUGCGUGCCAGAAGCGUCGGUAAUACGUGGGCUUCAAGCGUUAUCCGGUUUUAUUGGGCGUAAAGGGUCGUGUAGGCGGCUGUAAAAGUUAUCUUUUAAAUCCCGAUGCCCAACAUCGGAACUGGAGGUAAUACUAUACAGCUAGAGUUUUCUUUAGGGUAAGCGGAACUGAAGGAGGAGUAGUGAAAUGCGUUGAUACCUUCGGGAACACCAGUGGCGAAGGCGGCUUACUGGAAGGAAACUGACGCUGAGACACGAAAGCUAGGGGAGCGAAGCAGAUUAGAGACCUGCGUAGUCCUAGCCCUAAACGAAUGUCUGCUAGCUGCAUUUUUUCAAUUUAUUGGAAAAGUGUGGCGUAGGUAACCCGUUAAGCAGACCGCCUGGGGAGUACGGCCGCAAGGCUAAAACUCAAAGGAAUUGGCGGGGAGGCACACAAUCAGUGGAACAUGUGGCUCAAUUCGAAACGAAACGAAGAACCUCACCAGGGUUUGACAUACAGCUGCUAAUCCUAUGAAAGUAGGACUCUUUCGAAGGUGCUGUACAGGUGCUGCAUGGCUGUCGUCAGUUCGUUCCGUGAGGAGUGCCCUUAAGUGGGACAACGAACGCAACCCCCAUCUUAUGUUACAAGUGUCAUAAGAGACUGCCCGAGUUUUACUCGGGAGGAAGGAGGGGCAGACGUCAAGUCAGCAUGGUCCUUAUACCCUGGGCUGCACACAUGUUACAAUGGGAAGAACAAUGAGUCUAGCGAACCGGCGACGGUAAGCCAAUCUCAAAAAACUUUUCUCAGUUGGGAUUGAAGGCUGCAAUUCGCCUUCAUGAACCCGGAAUUGAUAGUAAUCGCGGGUCAGCUAUACCGCGGUGAAUACGUUCUUGCCUCUUGCACACACCGCCCGUCAAGCCAACAAAGUCGUUGGUAUUCGAACCUCGCCAUUAGGCGGGGGAGAGUACUGAUGGCGAUGAGGGUUAAGUCGUAACAAGGUAACCGUA
rnacentral:rRNA from 1 species